UUCUAAUUUAAUCUCCGAACCAGGUUACCUGAAUUAUAUUUGAUAGGUUUCCUGGUCUGUAGGGUAUAUCUGGAAACGGUUAUGCCUCCCAUCGCGGAAAGGAGAACAUAGUCUUUGCUG
rnacentral:ncRNA from 1 species